rnacentral:rRNA from 1 species
UAUCAAUAAGCGGAGGAAAAGAAACCAACAGGGAUUGCCUCAGUAACGGCGAGUGAAGCGGCAACAGCUCAAAUUUGAAAUCUGGCCCUAGGCCCGAGUUGUAAUUUGCAGAGGAUGCUUUUGGUGCGGUGCCUUCCAAGUUCCCUAGAACGGGACGCCAGAGAGGGUGAGAGCCCCGUACAGUUGGACACCAAGCCUUUGUAAAGCUCCUUCGACGAGUCGAGUAGUUUGGGAAUGCUGCUCAAAAUGGGAGGUAUAUUUCUUCUAAAGCUAAAUACCGGCCAGAGACCGAUAGCGCACAAGUAGAGUGAUCGAAAGAUGAAAAGCACUUUGAAAAGAGGGUUAAACAGCACGUGAAAUUGUUAAAAGGGAAGCGCUUGUGACCAGACUUGCGUCCGGUGAAUCACCCAGCUCUCGCGGCUGGGGCACUUCGCCGGCUCAGGCCAGCAUCAGCUCGCUGUCGGGGACAAAAGCUUCAGGAACGUAGCUCUCUUCGGGGAGUGUUAUAGCCUGUUGCACAAUACCCUUCGGCGGGCUGAGGUACGCGCUCCGCAAGGAUGCUGGCAUAAUGGUCAUCAGCGACCCGUCUUGAAACACGGACCAAGGAGUCAACCUUAUGUGCGAGUGUUCGGGUGUCAAACCCCUACGCGUAAUGAAAGUGAACGCAGGUGAGAGCUUCGGCGCAUCAUCGACCGAUCCUGAUGUUCUCGGAUGGAUUUGAGUAAGAGCAUAUAGGGUUGGACCCGAAAGAAGGUGAACUAUGCGUGUAUAGGGUGAAGCCAGAGGAAACUCUGGUGGAGGCUCGCAGCGGUUCUGACGUGCAAAUCGAUCGUCAAAUAUGCGCAUGGGGGCGAAAGACUAAUCGAAC